GGGAGAGUGUUAGAAUAUCACUUGUGGGAACUAGUUCCAUACAGACAGUAUAUAAAAAAAUUAAAGGGCACAUAAAUGUUAGCAAAUAAAAGAAAUCAAAACGUGUAGGCUAUUUUGGUGAUUAGAAUUCAAUUUCAAUCCCAGUUUAGCGUGUAGACUACCAGUUUGAUAUUCAUUCUCCUAAGUCUAUAAUUCUCAACAAUUUUAAAGCUCACAAAAUACUAAUAUAGGAAUGCAUAGUUUGA
rnacentral:misc_RNA from 1 species